rnacentral:misc_RNA from 1 species
GAACACUUCUUGCUGUCACUAUUUUUUAGUAUAACUCUGCAAUUUCUGGUUUUGCUUAUGAUGAUUUGAUUCUGUUAACUUCAUUGUCGAAGAAGAAGGAGAGAACAAUGAAGGGAGAUGCAUUGAAAUCUGCUACAGUAAUCAAAGUUUUAGCCUUUACGUUACUCUCUAUAGCUUUUUUUUACUUCGGCAAACACUGGUCUGAUGGAUCUCAACAGCUUGUUUUCUUCAAUUCACGUCAAGAUUCAGCUUCACUCACAAACCCAACAAACCCCUCUUCUCAAUUUGUAUCAAUUUCCCCUAAUUUCAACAAAUCUUUCGAUUUAUCGUCCGUAAUUAAUGACACCACCGUUUCUGAUAAGCCACAGGAAAAAACGCCGUCGGUCGAAGUUGUUUUAUCUCCUCCACCGCCACCACCGUCACCGCCUCCGGCGGUUCAGAAGAUGGGGGUGUUGGAUGAGAAUGGGGUGAUGAAUGAUAAUUUUGAAGUGGGGGAAUUUGAUCCGGAAGUUGUGGAUAAUUGGGGUGUUGGGAAUGAGACGGAGGUAGAGGAUGGUGAUGGGGUUAAGAGAUUUAGGGUUAAGAAGUUUGGUUUGUGUCCUGACAGUAUGAGGGAGUAUAUUCCAUGUUUAGAUAACGUAGAAGCAAUUAGUAAGCUGAAAUCAACUGAAAGAGGUGAGAAAUUUGAGCGACAUUGUCCUGAAAAAGAUAAAGGAUUGAAUUGCUUGGUUCCUCCGCCAAGAGGUUAUCGAGCUCCGAUUACAUGGCCUAAAAGUCGCGACGAGGUUUGGUUCAGCAAUGUUCCUCAUGCACGUCUAGCUGAGGAUAAGGGGGGUCAAAAUUGGAUAUUGAUAGACAAGGACAAGUUCAAGUUUCCUGGAGGUGGCACCCAGUUCAUACAUGGAGCUGAUCAGUACUUGGAUCAGAUUCAAAAGAUGCUCCCUGAAAUUGCAUUUGGCCAUCAUGUCCGAGUUGCUUUAGAUAUUGGCUGUGGUGUUGCGAGCUUUGGUGCUUAUUUACUAUCCAGGAAUGUGCUCACCCUGUCUGUGGCUCCAAAAGACGUUCAUGAAAACCAGAUUCAGUUUGCUCUUGAACGUGGCGUGCCUGCAAUGGUUGCUGCAAUUGCGACACAUCGUUUACGUCAUCCAAGUCAGGCUUUUGAACUAAUCCAUUGUUCAAGAUGUAGGAUCAAUUGGACUCGUGAUGAUGGGAUUUUACUACUGGAGGUUAACAGGUUGCUCCGUGCUGGUGGAUAUUUUGUUUGGGCUGCACAACCUGUUUAUAAGCAUGAAGCAGCCCUGGAAGAACAAUGGGAAGAGAUGGUUAAUCUUACUACUCGUCUUUGCUGGAAUCUUGUGAAGAAGGAAGGUUACAUAGCUAUAUGGCAGAAGCCCUUAAAUAACAGUUGCUAUUUAAGCCGUGAGGAAGGAACUCAACCACCUCUCUGUGAUCCACAUGAUGACCCAGACAAUGUUUGGUAUGUUGAUCUG